UAGGAGAAUUCGGUUAUGGUUCUGGAUUGGCGUUUCGUAUGUAGUUUACAUUAUGACUCUAAGGGGAGUGAGGGGAAAUUUUUCGGGCAGGGUUCAAUUAAAUUUUAUUUUGCCCUGAAGCCUGUGUACAGGUCAAUCUCUCAGCUAUAGUAUGCAGGUUUGUGUUUGAAUAGAGAUAUUGCUCCAUUAAAGGUUCGAGAAGUGGGUAAUAUUGGUGCCAGCACCAGCGGUUAAACCAAAAUACUUCCAGUCAAUUUAUACGUGGAAAAAGGUAGCAAGAGAAAUUUUUGAGUAUCUUUGACGCUUUUUGUGUAGAAACUGAAGCGUCAAGGCUUCUAUCUUAAGCGGUUCUAUCUGAAGCCUGGAGGUGGAAACAGGGUAAGUCCCUUUAUCAAUGGUUUAACACAUCUACGGCGACUAAAGACUUAAAGGGUUUUAAAGUCAAAAUACUUGGCGGUGCUACGAAUUCGUUCGGGGGAGUUUGGCGGUUAAUUCGAUGACCCUCGAGUACCUUACCUCAUUUUAUUUUUCUAUACAGCCGUUGGUAGUCGUCUUUAAAGAAGUGCGGCUUAAUUCCUUUUGUAACAGGAAGCAAUUCAGGUAAAUGUGGAGAUUAUAUUGAGGCCUUAGCUGAGCUACAAUUUAUAAUAAAGACGAAUGCAGUUUUGAAAUGGAUUGCUGAAGGUGGACUCGACAGUAAAAAGGAUACUAUCAGUGCUUUUUGAAUCGUGGAUCGUGGCGCGUACAAACCGCCCAACACUUCCGUAUUAGAAAAUCGGGAUAAGUUGUAACAUGGUAACGGUAUGCAAACUUGUCGUUUGUAA
rnacentral:rRNA from 1 species